rnacentral:lncRNA from 1 species
GUAGAAACAAAUAGCUUCCCGAAAUUGACCUGUGUAUUUAUGGAAAUUCUUUUUUUUUUUUUUGAGACAGGUCUUGCUGUGUAGUUCAGGCUGGUCUUGAACUCCUGGCAAUCCGUGCCCAACUCCACCAUUUUUUUUUCCAGUACUGGGGAUUGAACUCAGGACCUUCCGCUUGUCAGCCGCUCAUUUUAGAGGUGAGAUUCACGGAAGGAGGCAGACGGAAGUGGAAACAGCUGCAGCAAAGCCAAAUGAGAAGUGACUCAGGCCCGUGAGAGUCAG